rnacentral:lncRNA from 1 species
ACCUGGGCAGGUGUGACAAGGACAGGUGGGACAAGCCCAGGGACAUCGGUGACACCUGUCACGCGUUGUCACCUGUGUCACACCUGUGCCACACCUGUGUCACUCCCCGUGUCCCCAACACCGCCAAGGGUUGUGUCACACACACAGGGCCGAGCCCAGGUGUGUCACACUCAGGUGUGUCCCAGGUGUCCCCUCCAUGUCACACUCAGGUGUGUCCCACUCAGCUGUGUCACACACUCAGGUGUGUCCCAGGUGUAUCCCAGGAGUGUCCCAGGUGUCCCACUCAGGUGUGUCACACACUCAGGUGUGUCCCAGGUGUCCCCUCCGUGUCCCACCUGGCGCCACCGGCUCCGGCCGCACCUGCAGAGACACCCAGGGGGGAUUUUAGGGAAUUUUAGGGAAUUUUCCCUUUUCCCCAAGAUUUUUCCCCAAAAUUUUUUUAGGAUUUUCCCCCAAAAUUUUUUUACAAUUUUCCCCCAAAAUUUUUUUACAAUUUUCCCCCAAAUUUUUUUAAGAUUUUCCCCAAAAUUUUUAAGAUUUUCCCCCAAAUUUUUUAAGAUUUUCCCCCAAAUUUUUUAAGAUUUUCCCCAAAAUUCUUUAAGAUUUUCCCCCAAAUUUUUAAGAUUUUUUUCCCCCAAUUUUUAUAAGAUUCUUUUUCCCCAUUUUUCUAAAAUUUUCCUCCAAAUCUUUUUACAAUUUUCCCCUAUUUUUUUAAAUAUUUUACCCCAAAUUUUAAGAUUUUCCACCCAUUUUUUUAGGAUUUCCCCCCAUUUUUUAGGAUUUUUUCAGCAUUUUUCCCUCCCGUUUUUUAGGAUUUCCCAAAUCCCCUUCCCAGUUUUUUUUUUUUUA